UGAGGAAUAUUGGUCAAUGGUCUGACGACUGAACCAGCCAUGCCGCGUGAAGGUCACGGCCCUAUGGGUCUUAAACUUCUUUUGCGAGGGAGCAAUAAGGCGCACGUGUGCGUCGAUGAGAGUACCUCGCGAAUAAGCAUCGGCUAACUCCGUGCCAGCAGCCGCGGUAAUACGGGGGAUGCGAGCGUUAUCCGGAUUUAUUGGGUUGAAAGGGUGCGUAGGCGGGAGAUUAAGUCAGUUGUGAAAGGCUGCGGCUCAACCGCAGCACUGCAGUUGAUACUGGUUUCCUUGAGUUCGGUUGAGGUGUAUGGAAUUCGUGGUGUAGCGGUGAAAUGCUUAGAUAUCACGAAGAACUCCGAUUGCGAAGGCAGUACACUAAGCCGUCACUGACGUUGAGGCUCGAAAGUGUGGGUAUCAAACAGG
rnacentral:rRNA from 1 species